GGAACAGCCCAAGACAAAAUCAAGGCACUAAAAGAAGCUGGAGUUACAGUGUGUGAAUCUCCCGCGAAAAUUGGAGUUUCAAUGCUUGAGGUGUUCAAACAGAGGGGUCUUGUGUAAGCCUGUGGCUCAACAAUUUCUUCAUUUGAAAUUUAUUUUUGCUUGUUUUGUUCGCGGGCAUGCGCGAUAUUAUGAUGCCCUGUUAUCACACCACCAUAACCCAUUUUUGGCAGAUAAUAACAAAGAGAAAAUUUGAUGGAUAUGAAAUAUUAUCCAAGAACCCAUUCAAUAAACUGUGAUGGUUUAUUGUUAUUUAGGUCUGAAUUUUCAUGUUAUGACAAGAUGUUGCAACAAUGCAAAUUCAUAUAUAUUUGUAUUGUAUUGAGAGCAUGCUUUUGGACCAAAGCAA
rnacentral:misc_RNA from 1 species